rnacentral:rRNA from 1 species
AUUGAACGCUGGCGGCAGGCCUAACACAUGCAAGUCGAGCGGUAGAGAGAAGCUUGCUUCUCUUGAGAGCGGCGGACGGGUGAGUAAAGCCUAGGAAUCUGCCUGGUAGUGGGGGAUAACGUUCGGAAACGGACGCUAAUACCGCAUACGUCCUACGGGAGAAAGCAGGGGAUCUUCGGGCCUUGCGCUAUCAGAUGAGCCUAGGUCGGAUUAGCUAGUUGGUGAGGUAAUGGCUCACCAAGGCGACGAUCCGUAACUGGUCUGAGAGGAUGAUCAGUCACACUGUAACUGAGACACGGUCUAGACUCCUACGGGAGGCAGCAGUGGGGAAUAUUGGACAAGGGGCGAAAGCCUGAUCCAGCCAUGCCGCGUGUGUGAAGAAGGUCUUCGGAUUGUAAAGCACUUUAAGUUGGGAGGAAGGGCAUUAACCUAAUACGUUAGUGUUUUGACGUUACCGACAGAAUAAGCACCGGCUAACUCUGUGCCAGCCGCCGCAGUAA